rnacentral:other from 1 species
AAAGUCCUGGGGUGUACGAGGCUCCCAUUUAUUUUGAACCUACAUUACUUUAAACGGGAUUCCUAUAUUGCCGUCUCAGAUGUCAGGCCGUCAUUGUGCAGCGGAAGACAGAAGAUUCGGCUGCGGUUGCCCACCUAGCAUAAGCUAGGAGUCAGAAGAUGGGAAACGGCACUCUGGGAUAAAA